UACGUAGGGUGCAAGCGUUGUCCGGAAUUAUUGGGCGUAAAGAGCUCGUAGGCGGUUUGUCGCGUCUGCUGUGAAAACCCGAGGCUCAACCUCGGGCCUGCAGUGGGUACGGGCAGACUAGAGUGCGGUAGGGGAGAUUGGAAUUCCUGGUGUAGCGGUGGAAUGCGCAGAUAUCUGGAGGAACACCGGUGGCGAAGGCGGCAUCCUGGACCGACACUGACGCUGAGGAGCGAAAGCCAGGGGAGCAAACGGG
rnacentral:rRNA from 1 species